GAAACAAAUGACAGGAGUGAAGGCAUUCAUUCACAUUCACAUGGAUGGCAUUCUAGAUUUAAACUCUAACAGUGUGGAAACAUUUUAUGAUUUUAACAUAGACACAACAAUAUCUUUUU
rfam:Egretta garzetta contig42949, whole genome shotgun sequence.